GGUCCCGUCGUCUAGCCCGGCCUAGGACACCAGGUUUUCAUCCUGACAACACGGGUUCGAAUCCCGUCGGGACCG
rnacentral:tRNA from 1 species